rnacentral:rRNA from 1 species
UACGAAGGGGGCUAGCGUUGUUCGGAAUCACUGGGCGUAAAGCGCACGUAGGCGGAUCUUUAAGUCAGGGGUGAAAUCCCGAGGCUCAACCUCGGAACUGCCUUUGAUACUGGGGAUCUUGAGUUCGGGAGAGGUGAGUGGAACUGCGAGUGUAGAGGUGAAAUUCGUAGAUAUUCGCAAGAACACCAGUGGCGAAGGCGGCUCACUGGCCCGAUACUGACGCUGAGGCACGAAAGCGUGGGGAGCAAACAGG